rnacentral:rRNA from 1 species
AGAGUUUGAUCCUGGCUCAGGAUGAACGCUGGCGGCGUGCUUAACACAUGCAAGUCGAACGCUGAAGCUCCCAGCUUGCUGGGGGUGGAUGAGUGGCGAACGGGUGAGUAUCACGUGAGUAACCUGCCCUGAACUCUGGGAUAAGCCUGGGAAACUGGGUCUAAUACUGGAUAGGACUGGCCAUCGCAUGGUGGUUGGUUGAAAGCUUGAGGCGGUUUUGGAUGGACUCGCGGCCUAUCAGUUUGUUGGUGGGGUAAUGGCCUACCAAGGCUUUGACGGGUAGCCGGCCUGAGAGGGUGACCGGCCACACUGGGACUGAGACACGGCCCAGACUCCUACGGGAGGCAGCAGUGGGGGAUAUUGCACAAUGGGGGAAACCCUGAUGCAGCGACGCCGCGUGAGGGAUGACGGCCUUCGGGUUGUAAACCUCUUUCAGUUGGGAAGAAGCCCUUCGGGGUGACGGUACCUUCAGAAGAAGCACCGGCUAACUACGUG